CUUUCUCUUUUCACUUUAUCACAAGCUCGGGUACCACACAUCUCCUCUCGGCGUAGCUUUCUCUGUUUCUCUUUCAUUUUGAUCCUCAUUUUCGUCAUGAUUCAGAAUCGAUCUUCUGCCCUCAAGAUUGUACUAAGAAAAUGGAACACAGAUUUACCAUCGGCUCAAUCAUAUCACUGACCAAAGGCUGCAAUAGGAUGACCAAAAGCGAGUCCUACCAAUUCCUCCAACAUAGCUACAGAGAAUUGAAGAGAGUACUGCCCAACAUGUGAAUGAGUGGAAAUUACUUCCAGCUGUGGCUUUGUGUUGUUUAGUGCGAUGACAUGCUGUCUAAACUCGCAUAUUGUCACGACCCAAUAUGCGGUUCGUGCGGGCACCUAUCUUAUCUCAUCUCACCUGGUAGGCGAACCCUUACCAACCAACCCAUUAUUUAAAUCAUUUGACAACUUAAUAACUGCUGAAAAUGAACAAUGAGUAUGAAAACAUAAAUGACGCUCUUUACAAAUUUCAAAAGUCACACUUUCCCAAGACCUAGUCUAGACAUGUACAAGAGCUUUUACAAUCACAGAGGAAUAAAACUCAAAUAAAGUGACACAACUUCUACCUUGGAAUGAGAUACACAGAAGUUGUAGGAAGAUAUCUGCCACUGCAGCUAACGAAACCUUAAAGUAAUAACCUGAAACACAUCUAUACUCCCAAAAGGAAUGUAGCAAGAAUAGUAUCAGUACAACACACGUACUGGUAAGCAUCAUAGGUCGACUAAGGUUAGUUCACGUAAUAUUAUAUAGAAUCAAUCAAGAUAAAUAGAUAACUACAUUCAUAACACCUUUAUAAAUCCUACUCAAGGUAACAGUUCUGUCAUAAGCUCACUCGGAUUCCUCUACAACUAACACAUCAAAGUAACAACGGAAAAUAAGGACUAACAGGCAACAAUCGGUUUCGACACUCAAGAAAGACUCCUAGACCACUUAAUCCUCAAUAAUAACUAAGUCAGGACAAUAACCUUCAUGCCAACCCAUUCAAAUUGAAAUCACCAAACCUUACCUUGCUUCCAACGAUCUGACGGACUCAUAAUUUGACAGACAUACUCAACAGCAUAACAUCUCAAAAUAGACAUCAGUCCAUAAUCAUUUAUCAAAUACGCAAUAAGAGUAAGCACAAGCAAUGCGACUGACGAUAAUAUAUCUCCCGUACGUUCCAACCUUAACCAUUCUAAGUGGGAUCACUUCGACAUAACUUCUCUUCAUUCAUCAAACAAGACCAAGAAAUCACGUGUAAACAUAACAGCUCAACAACAAGAAAAAUCAACUAUGAAAUCACCAGAAUGAGUCAUGAUUCAAUGUAAUGCAGCCAAGACGAGUGUGACCUCUAUCACAAGAAUAUAAGUAAGUAAAAUGUAAUGCAACCCGAGUUACUAU